rnacentral:misc_RNA from 1 species
GACGUAGGGGGCAAGCGUUGUCCGGAAUCAUUGGGCGUAAAGCGCGCGCAGGCGGGCCGGUAAGUCGGUUGGGAAAACCCGUGGCUCAACCACGGGCCUGCAUCCGAUACUGUCGGGCUAGAGGCAGGUAGGGGAGAUCGGAAUUCCUGGUGUAGCGGUGAAAUGCGCAGAUAUCAGGAGGAACACCGGUGGCGAAGGCGGAUCUCUGGGCCUGUCCUGACGCUCAGGCGCGAAAGCUAGGGGAGCAACCAGG